rnacentral:tRNA from 4 species
GGGCCUGUAGCUCAGGGGAUAGAGCACUGGUUUCCGGUGCCAGGUGGCGGAGGUUCGAAUCCUUCCAGGCCCG